ACGCUAGCAACAUUAUUUGCUUUUGUUGUCCCGAAAGAAAAAUGGCUGACUAGCUGAACGUCAAAACUUCGACGAGUAGUGCUUACGAUAAUGAGCAAAAUUACUAUAAAAUUUGCCAAAUAAACGAAAAUUUAGUGAUAGUGAAGUAUUGUGGUGCCAUAAAACAAGUGUUUUGUGCUUAUAAAUAGUUAACUAUAGUGUUAUAAAGGGUUUAAAACUGCAAGUAUUGACGACAAUAACGUCAAUGCACCAUGUGAGCGGCGCACUAGUGCGGGCCGCGGCGGUAUGUGGGCCCCCGCCGCGGCCGGCGCGGGCGCCGCGCUCGCCGCGCUGCUGGCGCUGCUGGCUCUGCGCGCGUGCCGUCACACCAAGCGGCACAAGCAGGUGCACGUAGUCCGCGUCGCGCCCCGCCCGCCCCGCGCCGCCCCCGCCCCUCUGCCCCCACACC